rnacentral:rRNA from 1 species
UACGAACCGUGCAAACGUUGUUCGGAAUCACUGGGCUUAAAGGGCGCGUAGGCGGCUCGCCAAGUCGGGGGUGAAAUCUUUCGGCUCAACCGGAAAAGUGCCUUCGAUACUGGCGGGCUGGAGGGAGGUAGGGGCAUGUGGAACUUCCGGUGGAGCGGUGAAAUGCGUUGAUAUCGGAAGGAACGCCGGUGGCGAAAGCGACGUGCUGGACCUCUUCUGACGCUGAGGCGCGAAAGCUAGGGGAGCAAACAGG